GGAGGAAAACCUGUCGGUCAAUACCCGGCAGCUUGACAUUACCUUUAGAAGAAGCACCGGCUAACUCCGUGCCAGCAGCCGCGGUAAUACGGAGGGUGCAAGCGUUAAUCGGAAUUACUGGGCGUAAAGCGUGCGUAGGCGGUUCGUUAAGUCAGAUGUGAAAGCCCCGGGCUUAACCUGGGAACUGCAUUUGAAACUGGUGGACUUGAGUUGAGUAGAGGGGAGUGGAAUUUCAGGUGUAGCGGUGAAAUGCGUAGAUAUCUGAAGGAACACCAGUGGCGAAGGCGACUCCCUGGACUCAAACUGACGCUGAGGUACGAAAGCGUGGGUAGCAAACAGGAUUAGAUACCCUGGUAGUCCACGCUGUAAACGAUGUCAACUAGCCGUUGGUCCUAUUUACAGGAUUAGUGGCGCAGCUAACGCAUUAAGUUGACCGCCUGGGGAGUACGGCCGCAAGGUUAAAACUCAAAUGAAUUGACGGGG
rnacentral:rRNA from 1 species